rnacentral:rRNA from 1 species
AGGAACGCGUAGGUAAUCUACCCUUUGCGGGGGACGAACAUUCCGAAAGGAAUGCUAAUACCGCGUAAGACCACGCUCACUACGGUGAAAGCGGUUAAAGGUGCCUCAAAGCACCACCAGAGGAUGAGCCUGCGUCCCAUCAGCUUGUUGGUAAGGUAAUGGCUUACCAAGGCGAAGACGGGUAGCUGGUCUGAGAGGAUGAUCAGCCACACUGGCACUGGAACACGGGCCAG